AUACGUAGGUGGCAAGCGUUGUCCGGAUUUAUUGGGCGUAAAGCGAGCGCAGGCGGUUAUCUAAGUCUGAUGUGAAAGCCUUCGGCUUAACCGAAGAAGUGCAUCGGAAACUGGGUAACUUGAGUGCAGAAGAGGACAGUGGAACUCCAUGUGUAGCGGUGGAAUGCGUAGAUAUAUGGAAGAACACCAGUGGCGAAGGCGGCUGUCUAGUCUGUAACUGACGCUGAGGCUCGAAAGCAUGGGUAGCGAACAGGAUUAGAUACCCUGGUAGUCCAUGCCGUAAACGAUGAGUGCUAAGUGUUGGAGAGUUUCCGCCCUUCAGUGAUGCAGCUAACGCAUUAAGCACUCCGCCUGGGGAGUACGACCGCAAGGUUGAA
rnacentral:rRNA from 1 species